CUGCGCAUUAUGAAGCGGCUGAUGCCCAACUAGAUGAAUGAGUUGCAUAAGCAAUGGCUUAGUUUGUGAUUUAUAUGGAGCCUCAGAACUUGCUGCAUCAUAGUUGUAUUGUUCCUCACACACCUGAACCAUGCCUACCCUCACUUGAUGUUUGGUUAAGAAAUUUAGCACCUGGUAUUAAUUCUAGCCUUUCGCUCUUUCAUAUGUGGCAUCAUUGAGGGUUAUUUUCUAAUUGAUUUAGCAAGUUUAGGUUCCAGAAUUUGGUUACUUCCAUCGCCGAAACUGAAACUGAAACUGUACUGCUAUUCAUUGAGAAGUUGUUAGCUACAAUUUCUUUAAGAAAUGUGGAUGCAGAAUUAUUUUAAAGUAACUUAUAAGGUAUUGCCCGUAUAUCUAUGGUUAUUUAUGAAUAGAUGAUAGGUUGCUUGUAUCCUCAUUUGUUCUGUGUGGACAAGUAGAACAAUGUGUAAUUAAUACGAAAAUUAACAAAGCUUGUUUUACAUUAACUUACAUGAUAGUUCUUAUAUCUACAUUUAUAUAUGCACACCUCAGAAGAUGAUUCUAGCCUCAUUCGUUAUGUGUUCUCAGGUUAAGCAACAUGGAGUUUAAAAAUUAGCAAAGCAGUGGUCGCCUCCUAUGUUAUCAAAGAUGUUUGUGACCAUACACAUUACAUUGAAACCAUACGGCUACACCUGGACAUGAAUGUAAGUGAAAUAAAGUGUUAAAGUGUAUUUACGUGCUAUGACUGUUUAUUGUAUUUUACUCUUUUUUGGUAAAGUUCAUUGACUAAUAAUUUGUGUAGUGGUAAGAUAAACUUUCAAAACUCAGUAUCAAAGGGGAGGUACUAAAAUGGGAACUUUAUGUAGAAAUAAUGCCCUCACAGAUGAAGAAAUAUACUCCCUCCGUCCCAAAAUUAGUGACUCAACUUUUACUAGCUUUUUAAAAUAAGUGACUCAAUUUUAUACUAGCUUUAGUACAAAGUUAGUACAAAGUCGAGUCACUUAUUUUGGGACGGAGGGAGUACUAUCUUAGUUUCAUUCCUGUCAUUGGCUAGGAUCACAUCCAGUAAGUAAAAGACAUACAAACCAUGCGGUGGUCUAAUAAACAUUAUUUGGAGUCUUGAUAUUCCAAUAGUAUAGAAAUGGUUAUGUAAGAUACAGUUGAAAGCACAAGUGCUCCCUGGGCAAUUUUGGUAAUUUAUGUCAACAUAUCUUUUGUUGGACUAAUACUUUCAUCCAGUAUAUUUCAGAUGAGUUCAACAGUGGAGUGGCAUGGACAAAAGGAUGUGGAACCCCUUCAAGAUGCUAACGACAAAGGAUUGGCUCAAGCUCAAAAGCUCAGGACUCUACCUUUUCCAUUUUAGUGAUCCAAGAUCACAUUGAGUCUAUAGGAAAGCCAAUACUAUUAAAAGGGGAUGAGGUGUUGCUUAAUGCCUUGCUUGCUCAAAAUGCUUAGUGAUAUGCUCACAGCCCUCAACCACUUUCUCAUAUCCACAUUUGUCCAAAACUAAAAUUCAAACUCGGCCCCAUUGAUUUGAUCCAUCCGACGCCACCGAGUUCAUUUGACAUAGUCACUGCCAGAAAUCCUAGUCUUUUCGGUCUUAACGAUAGGGAUCUCGGUCUCACCGAGAUGGGAUUGCAAACUCUCUGUUUCCCUUCGUAACAUUUCGGUCUAACUGAGAUAGGCGAAUCGGUCCCAUCGAGUCUGCAAUGCAAACUCUCUGUUUCUUUUUCGUAACGCUUUGGUCCCACUGAGAUGAGCGAAUCGGUCCCACCGAGUUUGCCUGACCAACUCUCUGGUUAGCUUAUUACCAA
rnacentral:lncRNA from 1 species